UGGGGAAUCGUCUAACGGCAGGACAUCAGGUUCUGGUCCUGAGAGUCGGGGUUCGAGUCCCUGUUCCCCAG
rnacentral:tRNA from 1 species